GGAAUCUGCAGCGACUCGCAGCGGAUCACGUACACACCGGCGGAGGGAGGGAGGGAGCGCGGAGACACUGGUCCAUGCAAGCUACCACCUCAUGGACGCGCUGGGAAACCCGGGUCUUUUGUUCGCCCUGUCCUGUAGUAGCUACGACUUCCUCUUCACUGAAGAGAUUUAAGAAGGCGAGACACGUUUCUAACAUACUCCUACGGGGGGAAAGUAAACCACCAUCUGAGCGUUCUAAACCACGGGUAGGAACAUAAAUGUGUUGCUGGUGCCAAAACGAAGUGAAAAGCAGAUGAGGCGAGAGCUGGCAGAGCCCCAGCAGCUCAGCCAAGCCUCCCACCCGCCGUGCAGGGCAGCACGACCUCCUCCUCCCCCGCUCGCAUCAGCCAUCCCUCCUCACCCCACCAUCUCUCGAGAGAACGAGACAUCUUGAUAGUAAAAGUUACUGCAGCGUUUCUACACUCUCCCUUGCCCAGCCUGGGGCAGAGGAAACGUGGAGGAAGAGAGAGGGAAGAAGAGGGGAGAAAGGAAGAAGGGAUGUUUGAACCUCAAGCGCCGAGGCCGUGCAAAAAUUAUUUAUCUUUUAAAUGCGCUUAGUAGAAAAGCCGGGUCGAAGGCCAGCACGGAAAAAGGAACCCGAGCACCACUGCAAUCCCGUGUGAACCGCUCCCAAAGCCCUCUCUCCACUCCCUCCAUGUGCCGCACCGCGGAUUGCCGACACCAGCCCUGAAGCAGCCCACGCUGUUUCCCCAGGCUCCCGCAUGGGCGCCCUGCCAGCCGGGGAGGCCCUUCCUUCCUGCCCCUCACACCGCCCUCGAGGGGCUCCUCGCCCUCUCCUGCUGCUGCCCCACUCCCCACACUGCCCGCACCUCCCCCGCGUUCUGCUUCCCCCUCGGCUCCUUCCCCUCAUCCUCCCCGUGCUCCCGGAGUAAACGGCGUGAGCCGCUACCUUGGGCAUCGCCGCCGCUGGUCAGCACCGCGAUGGCCUUCCCGGCGCCCGAGAGGUUCUCGAAGAACUUGGGCUGGUGAUCCAUGGCGCUGCAGGAGCGGCACCGGCGGGCGAGGCGGAGCGCGGUCGCUGAGGGAGCCCCUGGCCGCCGGGGUCUGCCCCCGCUCCGCUGUACCGAGCGUUCGGCCUCUGCGGGAAAAGAGCCCGAGCAGCCCGGUGUGGGUGUGUGGUUACCGACAGGUAAAUCUCUGCAGAAAACCUGAGGGAAGGGGCAAGACUGUGUGCAAAAGCCCGGGAAAAAAAAAAACAA